rnacentral:rRNA from 1 species
UCGAGGAUCUUCGGCAAUGGGCGCAAGCCUGACCGAGCGACGCCGCGUGCGCGAUGAAGGCCUUCGGGUUGUAAAGCGCUGUCGAGGGGGAGGAAGCCGAAAGGUUGACCUAUCCCUGGAGGAAGCACGGGCUAAGUUCGUGCCAGCAGCCGCGGUAAGACGAACCGUGCGAACGUUGUUCGGAUUCACUGGGCUUAAAGGGCGCGUAGGCGGGCGAUCAAGUCAGGGGUGAAAUCUUUCGGCUCAACCGGAAAAGUGCCCCUGAUACUGAUUGUCUUGAGGGAGGUAGGGGCAUGUGGAACUUCCGGUGGAGCGGUGAAAUGCGUAGAUAUCGGAAGGAACGCCGGUGGCGAAAGCGACGUGCUGGAUCUCUUCUGACGCUGAGGCGCGAAAGCCAGGGGAGCGAACGGGAUUAGAUACCCCUGUAGUCC